GUUGAUCAUAGCUCAGAUUGAACGCUGGCGGGAUGCUUUACAUACAGGUGAACGGCAGCACGGACUUCGGUCUGGUGGCGAGUGGCGAACGGGUGAGUAAUGUAUCGGAACGUGCUAGUAGCGGGGAUAACUACGCGAAAGCGUAGCUAAUACACAUAACCCUUCGGGGGAAAGCGGGGACCUUCGGGCCUCGCACUAUUAGAAGCAACCGAUAUCGGAUUAGCUAGUUGGUGGGGUAACGGCUCACAAGGCGACGAUCCGUAGCUGGUUUGAGAGAGGACGACCAGCCACACUGGGACUGAGACACAGCCCAGACUCCUACGGGAGGCAGCAGUGGGGAAUUUUGGACAAUGGGGGAAACCCUGAUCCAGCCAUCCCGCGUGUGCAGUGAAGGCCUUCGGUUCGCCGCCCUUUUGGCGGGAAAGAAACGGCCUGGGAUAUUAACGCCCGUGCAACUGACAGUACCUGCGAAUAACAGCUGCUACGGUAACAGCCGCGGUAACGUACGUAAGUGCAAAGCGUUAAUCGGAAUUACUGGGCGUAAAGCGUGCGCAGGCGGUUCGGAAAAGAUAUGAAAUCCCAGAACUUAACUUUGGAACUGCAUUUUUAACUACCGAGCUAGAGUGUGUCAGAGGGUGGAAUUCCGCGCGAUGUAUGCCAGUGAAAUGCGUAGAUAUGCGGAGGAACACCGAUAGUGAAGGCAACCUCCUGGGAUAACACUGACGCUCAUGCACAGCGUGGGGAGCAAACAGGAUUGAAUACCCUGGUCCCGCCCUAAACAGUGUCAACUAGCUGUUGGGGCCUUCGGGCGCGGGCUGGCGCAGCUAACGCGCGUGGUCGACCGCCUGGGAAGUACGGUCGCAAGAUUAAAGCCAAAGGAAUUGACGGGGACCCACAACGGUGGAUGAUCAUGGAUUAAUUCGAUGCAACGCGAAAACCUUACCUACCCUUGACAUGUCUGGAAAUCCCGAAGAGAUUUGGGAGUGCUCGCAAGAGAACCGGAACACAGGUGCUGCAUGGCUCGUCAGCUCGUGUCGUGAAUGUUGGGUUGGUCGUCCGCAACAGCGCAGCCCUUGGCCAUUAGUUGCUGCGAAAGGGCAUAUCCUGGCGGACUGCCGGUGACAAACCGGAGGGAAGGUGAGGAUGACGUCAGUCCUCAUGGCCCUGCGGGUGGGGCUUACGUCACCACAAUGGUCAGGACAGAGGGUCAUAACCCGCGAAGAGGGCUUGUCGAAACGAUCGUAGUCCGGAUCGCAGUCUGCAACUCGACUGCGUGAAGUGGAAUCGCUAAUCGCAGGAUCAGCAUGUCGCGGUGAAUACGUUCCCGGGUCUUGUACACACCGCCCGUCACACCAUGGGAAUUGGGUUCAAGUGAUUAGCCUAACGUAGGAAGGCGGUCUACAGUAAAGUUCAUGACUGAGGUGAAGUCUCGUAACAAAGAUAGCUCUGUUGCUGCCCUGAUUAUCACGAGAACAGCCGUAACGCUU
rnacentral:rRNA from 1 species